rnacentral:misc_RNA from 1 species
AGAGAGAGAGAGAGAGAGAAGGGGAAGCGGCAUCGGCGAAUCUCCGGUUACCUGUAGCUGUUGAAACGAUCAGUCACGGACUCCGGUCUCGAUAUACCUCCGGUGACGUGAUUUCUCCGGAAAACUUCCAAAAAGGUGAAAACCCUAGAGUUUGUAACGUGCCGCUCAACGUCUAGCAUCCUUUACAUAAUAGUAGGGGAUCGGAGAAGCAUAGGGCUGAAACUUCUCACUGUCCUCUGUUCAAAAUUAGUUGGUUUCCGGCACAUCGUGGUAAGUUCUGUAAUCUGCGGACGGAGGGGAAGCUCAAUCAACCACCCGUGAACGUCGACGGCUCGUGAGUCUACAUCAACUUGAUUUGAUUUCUCUGUGAUAUUCUUCAACCUAGAGCAUUUUGAGUUAGAUAAAUAUCAUUUAUGGCAACAGCAGAGCCAGCUUCAGUUUCCCUUGGGCCUCGUUAUGCUCCAGAGGACCCUACUCUUCCUAAACCUUGGAUGGGACUGAUUGAUGGAAGUACUGGACUUUUAUACUAUUGGAAUCCUGAAACCAAUGUUACACAGUAUGAAAAGCCAGCCUCUUUGCCUCCACCUUUGCCUCCUGGUCCACCUCCUACUUCUACACCAAAGUUGGCUCAGAUACCAAUGGCUCAUUCAGUACAACCAAGUGGGUUGGUGGCUCAAACUACAUUACAGCAGGGGCAACAGAGCAGUCAAUUACCUCAACAGGCUCAAGCAACACAACAGCAGGGGCAACAGAGCAGCCCGUUGCCUCAGCAGCAUGGACAACUAAUGCCACAGCAGCAGGUUCUCCCUGUGGCACAAGUUUCUAAUCAACAGGUUGCGCAGCAAGGUUCACAACUGGGGCAGGGUGUGCAACAGCCUGUGCACUUGAGAACCCAAAUGAUGCAGCAUCCAGGUCAGCAGAUGUUAUCUAACAUGGGGCAGCAAAUUUCUCAGCAGGGAGUUCAGCAGCAGCAGCAAGCCAUUCAACAGAGUUCUCAUCAAGUAGGACAGCACAUGUUGCAGCAUCAAAACUUGCAAAUGCAACAACCACAAGGUCAGCAAUAUGCAUAUCAGCAUUAUAUGAGAUAUCAGCAAAAUAUGCCUCCACAGAACCAACAUGGCUUACCGCAGCAGUUUGCUAAUCAACCUGAUUAUAUAGCAGCAUUCCCUAAAAGGGAAGAAGUUGAUUUUCAACAGGGAAAUCAAACAGGUUUUUCUCCAUCUCAUUUUCAGCAGACUGCUACACCAUCUUCUCAAAACCUGUAUGCUGGAGGUGAUUCAGUUUUAACACCCCAGGCAGUUGCUCAUGUGGGUCAACCUCAACAGUUCAGUGGCUCUGCUGUUAAUAUGCAACAGUCUAGCUCCGUGGCUCAGUUGCAGCAAAGUGGGGCUGAUUUAGUUCAUCAGCAGCAUGGUCCUCCAUUUCAAAAUCAUUUCAGUCCAUCAAUGAUGCAUAAUCAGCAGUCUAAUGUUCCUCCUGUUGGAUUAACAGUCGGUUCUGAGAUGAAUAUACAUGGUAGGGCUGGCAGUGAUUACUAUUUCAAUCCUAAAGUGGAAGGGCCCAUAGUUAGUCCUGGUCAGCCUAACCUUGCACCCAUGCCGAAGGGAAUAAAUCAGCAGGAGUCGAGGAUGGGUGGUGUAACAUUUCAGAAUGUUACAACUGGUUAUGCUGGUGGAUUUAAUGCAGCUGGGCAUACCAUGCAUAAUAUGUAUAAUCAUGCAAUUGGCGGUGGUCCAUUUCCAAACAAUGCUUUGAUUAGGCCCCCUUUUGUUGGAACUUCAGAUGUCACUAACCUCUCACCUGCAGAGGUUUAUCGACGGGAGCAUGAAGUCACAGCUACGGGUGACAAUGUUCCUGCUCCAUUCAUCACAUUUGAAGCCACUGGUUUUCCUCCUGAGAUAUUAAGAGAUGUAAGUUGUACUCCUUGCUGUGAUUUAGGUUCUAUGUACUGGCUUUAGAAAAUCAUAUAUGAGUUCUGCUUCUUUUGGUUUUUGAAGUAUUUUUGCUUUUUGAAUUGUUUUAAACUCAUUAGUUCUCACUUGUCGCAGGUGCGAUAUCUGCUCCAGACGAGGAGCAAAUGUCGUACGCUGCUCUGUUAUUGGCACACUUAUACAUGCAACAACUAUUCUGAUUUUUGGAGGCUGCAAAAUGGACAGUUGGAGCCUUUCUUGUGCAUCUUCUAGAAAGGUGGUUGGCCAUUUGUCCAAUUCACACCUGAUGUGACUGGGAUUUCUUGCUUUUUGGCUCUGCCUCAUAUGUCUUUAUUGCCCUAUUUAGUUGCCUCGAGUUGCUUGUGUAAGCAACAGUAUACUGUGGAUUUUUAGUUAUUUUGUUGUCAUGACACCUUAUUGCUGCCAUUUUUUUUGGAGUAUGGAUAAAUGUUAUGCAUUUAAUUUCUUGGUUCUCAUUAUCUAUAAUUAUUCUUCUAUUUCAGAUCCAUGCCGCUGGGUUCUUAUCUCCUACUCCUAUCCAGGCACAAACUUGGCCAAUUGCACUACAAAAUCGGGAUACUGUGGCAAUUGCCAAAACUGGUUCUGGUAAAACAUUGGGCUACCUGAUCCCUGCCUUCAUUCUUCUUAGACAAUGCCAUAAUAAUCCUCAGAAUGGUCCUACUGUACUGGUUUUAGCUCCAACAAGGGAGCUUGCCACACAAAUACAAGACGAGGUGAUAAAAUUUGGCCGAUCAUCAAGGGUCUCUUGCACGUGCUUGUAUGGUGGAGCUCCCAAGGGCCCUCAACUAAAAGAGCUUGAUCGAGGUGCAGAUAUUGUUGUAGCCACUCCUGGUCGACUCAAUGAUAUCCUUGAAAUGAAGAAGAUCAACUUUGGGCAAGUUUCACUUCUUGUGCUUGAUGAGGCUGAUCGAAUGCUUGAUAUGGGUUUUGAACCUCAAAUUCGUAAAAUUGUGAAUGAGAUACCUCCUCGGAGACAGACGCUUAUGUACACUGCAACCUGGCCAAAAGAAGUAAGAAAAAUAGCGAGUGAUCUUCUUGUUAAUCCUGUUCAGGUGAACAUUGGCAGUGUUGAUGAACUUGCUGCAAACAAGUCCAUCACACAGUAUGUUGAAGUGGUCCCACAAAUGGAGAAGGAGAGACGCUUGGAGCAGAUCCUUAGGGCACAAGAGAGAGGUUCAAAGGUUAUUAUUUUCUGUUCCACUAAGAGAUUAUGUGACCAGCUUGCACGUAGUAUUGGGCGCAACUUUGGGGCUGCAGUGAUUCAUGGAGACAAGUCACAAGGGGAAAGAGAUUGGGUUUUAAAUCAGUUCAGGAAUGGAAAGUCACCAAUUUUAGUUGCUACUGAUGUUGCUGCCCGAGGUCUUGAUAUCAAAGAUAUAAGGGUAGUGAUAAACUAUGAUUUUCCUACUGGAAUUGAGGAUUAUGUCCACCGAAUUGGUAGAACUGGAAGGGCUGGUGCAACUGGUGUGUCUUACACCUUUUUCUCUGAGCAGGAUUGGAAAUAUGCAGCCGAUUUGGUUAAAGUUCUGGAGGGAGCUAACCAGCAUGUUCCCCCAGAGGUGCGAGAGAUGGCUUUGCGUGGUGGGCCUAGUGUUGGCAAGGAUCGAGGUGGGAUGAACCGUUUUGAUUCAAAUAGUGGUAAUGGUGCUGGUAGGCGUUGGGAUUCUGGGGGCCGUGGUGGGAUGAGGGAUGGUGGCUUUGGUGGCCGUGGUGGAAUGAGGGAUGGUGGUUUUGGUGGUCGUGGUGGAAUGAGGGAUGGCAACUUUGGUGGACGUGGUGGGAUGAGGGAUGGAGGCUUUGGUUUCCGUGGGGGUGUUAGGGAUGGCCCUUUUGGUGGAUAUGGUGGGAGAAAUGACUCGUUUUCUGGGCGUGGAAAUAGAGGACGUGGAUACAGUGGUCAUGCUGGUUGGGGUAGGAAUGAACGUGGCCUACAUGAUCGCCACAACAAUAUGGAUGGUCGAGGACGUGGUCGUGGACGGGGAAGAUUUGAUGGUAGAAGAGAGAUUGUUGAUAGGGUUAGGGAUAGAAGUUAUAGUCGUAGCCCUGAGAGGGUUCGAACGUGGGGUUAUAGCCGCAGUCGAAGUAGAAGUAAGAGCUGGAGCCGGAGCCGGAGCCGGAGCUGCAGUAGGAGUCGGAGUUGGUCCCGAGACCGUAGUCGCAGUUACAGCCGCAGUCCUCGACAUAGCCGCAGCUACAGCCGUAGCCCUCGACGUACUCGCAGCUGUAGCCGCAGUCGCAGUCAAAGCUAUGACAGAUUGGAGAGGCCACAUGAAAGCAAUUUUGACAAGAAGGAUGUUACAGCUCCAGAAUUUGAAGCUCCCAAAUCAGGGAUGUCUCCUAUGUCCCCAGGUACGCAUGGUAAUGCAUUUUCAGGAGUGGAGGGGCUACCGGCGGGUGAGAGUGCGGUGCCUGAGCUGGUGAAUCCAGAGGCUGCAGAAGGGCAAGUUCCUGAAGCAUGAGCAUCUUUCUGGGUAUUUUAGCAUGGUUUUCAGUUUUUGUUAAUCAAAUACUGUGUUGCUGGGGAUUUAUGUUGGUUGAUAGUAGUGAUAGUGAAGGAAAUUUGGCUACCAGAGUGAAUUUUAUAUCCUAUUUUGCCAGUCAAGUUCAGCUUUAGUUCUGCAACGUUUUGAUUAGGGUUAGCUUCGUCCCUAUUGUUUUAAUCCAGGGAGAACAACUUUGGUGAUGAUUAUGUUCCUGUUGGGAUAGACAGGCACAAGGUCAAUGAAUUAUUUAGUUAUUUAUAUGACGUUAAAAUUUUCAUUUGAAUUUAUCAUGUCUCAAAAUAAUUUAGAAUUUGUUCUUACUAGGA